rnacentral:rRNA from 1 species
UACGGGGGGGUGCAAGCGUUGUCCGGAAUUAUUGGGCGUAAAGAGCUUGUAGGCGGUUUGUCGCGUCUGCUGUGAAAUUUCGGGGCUCAACCCCGAACUUGCAGUGGGUACGGGCAGACUAGAGUGUAGUAGGGGAGACUGGAAUUCCUGGUGUAGCGGUGAAAUGCGCAGAUAUCAGGAGGAACACCGAUGGCGAAGGCACUUUACUGGGCUAUUACUAACACUCAGAGACGAAAGCUAGGGUAGCAAAUGGG